UAGCCGGUGCAAGUCCGGCCGAGGUAGGGGCCAGACCGCCUCGUAGCUAGCAGGCACCUGGUGGUGAGAGCCUAAGGGUGAAGCCCUGCGAAAAGCCCGGAUGGGUGAAGCGAAACUGCAGGCCGUAACAUGA
rfam:Alicyclobacillus macrosporangiidus strain DSM 17980 genome assembly, contig: Ga0104483_139